GCAUCUGCAACCUACACCAUAGUUCACGGCAAUGUCAGAUCCUUAACCCACUGAACAAGGCCAGGGUUGAACCCGCAACCUCAUGGUUUCUAGUCGGAUCCAAUUUCUAGAAUUAUUUCCCCACUUGAGGAGAAAGAAAUUCGGGCAUGAUACUUCUUUAAGAAAUACGGGGCUAAUAAACAGAUGGGGCAGAGGAGUCAAGGAGAAAAGCGUGUGUAUCUCUCUAAGAGCCCCGACAGAAGGGAACUGGUUCGGAGACAGAACCUUCUUGUGGUGUGUUAGAGACUCCCACCACUUUGAACUCUUUGAGUCCUCUGAGACAGGAGCUGUUUUGCAAUAGUGAGGCUGAGCACCAAGAGUGUGGCUGUGGUGUCGAUUAGAUUCAUCCCCAGUCUGGAGAAAUGUUUCUCUGAGUGGAUUAAGAGGGAGGAUUGGGAAGAGCUGUGGUGGCUCCUUGGAGCCCUGUCAUUGAAAUUGGGAUGAUGGAGAAACUGAUAAAGAAGGCCGAAAGUGCCUGACCUGCUUAAAUUUGUAAUAAUCUCAUUUCCAAAGUCCUGGCACUUUGCAAUAAUAGUAGGAACAAGAAGGAUUUGGUUUUGUUUAGGGGUCUUUAUUUGCUGGAGUCAAACGUUGAGAAUUUAAGUGGUUUUAGGUGACUCAUCUAGAGUUUGAGAGAGCUGAUAUGCCAGACUAACAAAAUCUUGAGUGGACAUAGUUUCUCAUGCCAUCCUGCUCCUUUUAAUAAGAAGGGAAAGGUCUCAGUUCAGUCCAUUAAUACACAGAGAAUUAAAAGCUACCCAGGUGGAGCCACCGUCUGAAGGAAGCCCAGAAUUUUCUUUAAAAAUAAUCUGAAGUGGAUUGCAAUAUUUAUGAACAAAUUCGUCAGAUUUUUGUGCAAGCCUGAAUUUUGUUUCAAUCAACUGUCUUUGAAAAGACCCUAGGGGUUUCCUGAUGAAGUUGCCUAGUGACUGCCUGAUCUUGAUCAUAUAAUCAGUUGGUGGGCUAGUCUCCCCAGUGUAGUUCUAGAGACCUUCCAGGAUUUCUCCAAUUAGUGGUUCUCAUCCAAAGCUGGACCUGGCCUUCACUGACAAGCAUAUGAACUAGCUGGUAUAAAUCAGAGAAACCAUCUUGAUGCGUUUGAAUGACAAUGUGAAAUUCUUCAGCACAUGUGUGGGACUCUUCGGCUACUUUGGGAAUAUCUUUGGCCAUGGCUCACAGUUCAGCUUUAGUCCCAGGUGUAUAUGAAAUUAAGGGUUUAACCUCUGGACCUCCAGAAUGCUUAGUUUUAAAGGGACAGUUUCUGAUAAGUUCAAAGGAAAAGGAGCAGCGAGAGUUUCAGGGAAAAGAAAUGAAGUUUGGCAUGAGAAUGUGUGUGGGGACCUGAGGUCAUAGAAGGAAAAGAGGAAGAGGCAGCACUUGAGACAAAAGAGCCAAGGGGGGAGGAGCAUGAGGCUUCAGGAAGCCAUAUUAUCUUUCUUUAAUUGUCUCUUUGCUUCGGUUAAUCUUCAAAUUUUGCAGAGAGGCGAUCUGGGGCUCCUGAUAAUGUUUGGAAACCAAUCUAUUUCAAAACACCAAUUGAAAUUGAUGUUCCCCUUGGUUUUGGAAAUUUUUGAGCUAUGGUAGUCCAAUUCAGUUUUAAGACAAGUAAGUUUGAUUUCAAAAGUUCCCUACACUGGCCAUUGAUAUUCUAAACUGCCUUUGGUUAGGUUGGUCCCUUUGGCUAGCCAUGCACAUGGGGAAGGACCAUUGCUUUUAUUUAUUUUUAUUUAUUUAUUUUUUUUGGCUUCACCUAUAGCAUAUGGAAGUUCCCAGGCCAGGGAUCAAAUCCAAGCCACAGUUACAACCUAUGCCACAGUUGUGGUAAUGUUGGAUCCUUAACUCACUGCAACAGGCUGGGGAUCAAACCCAUGCUUCAGUAAAGAAUAGCACUUCAGGGUCUGCCACCAUGGUGAGCCCCCAGCAAGUCCCAUGCAGUAAGGUAAGGAGAACCCUUUUAUAGAGGGGAAAAGGAAGUUGGGAGAGUAGUAGGAAUAAAAGAGUCCCUGGUUUUCAUUGGCUGAGUUCUCACCAGGAAAGAAGAGGAGUCUUUCCUCUUCCUGUUGGGCUCUGCUUUGCAGGGCAUAAGGGCUCCCCCUUCUGGUCUCCCAACUCUACGUAACUGAGGUUUCUGUCUAUUAAUUUUUUAUGGAUGAAACACUGGGAGGAACAGAAACCAGAGAUUGGGGUUCAGCAGAUCCUCCCUGUUAACCUCAGAACUGCUGGGGCAUCUUUUUGUUUCCUGUCACUUGCCAUUAGGAGCAGGGUUUGAACUGGUUUCUUGAUGGGUCAGAUGCAGUAACUCUUUGGGUGGGUCCGACCUUUGUUGGCUCAGUGGGGAUUUUGCCGAGAGUUGGGGCUAUUCUUGCACAGGGCCUGGGGACUACUCAGUGCGUGGGAAAGUCAGGAGUGCUGGUAGACUUUGUCCUACUCUGCUGACAGCAAUGGGACAGAGGGCUGAGUGGCAGUGAGAAGUGCCGAGGCUUGAAGGGAGGCUGGGUCUCCAGGAAGGAUGCCUCUCAGAAUGUGAGCUUCCUUGUCAGGUUACAGGGGUGUCAUCAUUCUCACCCUUCAGCCCUGGCUCAGAGGCCACCAUGUGGGGCCUACAAGUCCCCAGCCUGCCCUGGAGAAGUUUCACCUCUCAGCUCAGGGCCCGGCUGAUCAGGGAGGGUGCACAAAAAACAGGGGAAGCUGAUUUCAGCCCCAGAUGAUGGCCAUCCUCAGUCUUGAGAAUUUCUUCCGUUAAAGCAAAAUAAAAAUGCCAGCAAAAUUCAGGCCUCCUUAGUAGGCAAUGAUAGAGAAUAUGACCUUUUAAUUUAAGUGUUUCACAGAAAAUGACAUACUUAAACAUUGGAGAAAAAAAAAUGGAAUGAAAAAGUGACCCCUCAAUCAACAGCUAGCCAUCUUUGGAAGGAGCCCAGAACAUUAAAACAACUUAAUAAUUUCUGUUAUUCUGUAACAGGUGAUUUAUCGAUGCUCUCUACACAUUUUACCUUUUAGUUCUUAUAACAGAUUUACGAGUCCAACUUUCCUAAUCCUGUUCACGAGUGGGGAAGCAGUUGUAAGCCAUUUAGGUAAAAGUUUCCCCAGCCAGGAGUCAGCAGAGCCAGGACUGAAGCACAGCUUCCCUUCUCACUGGUGUGGGAGGGGUCCCUGAGUUUCUGCUCCCAGCUUUUCUCCAGCAAGGAGCCCUUCUGCAGAGCAGCGCCGCAGGGGAACUCUCUGCCCUGAAGGGAGAGGGGGUGUUAACAGCUGUCUUCUUGUGGGUGGCAGCUGUGUGUUUGCCCUACGGCUUACACACAUCUGUCACUUGACCUGCACGAGGACCCUGGGAGAGAGAGCUUGUUACUUUCAUGAUCCUGCUUUGCAGGAACGGAACUGAGCCGCAGAGGGUGGAGGAACUGCCUCCCGUGAGGCUGGUUCCUGGUUCUUGACUCUGCGUCUCCACAGCAGAGCCGGCUGCUUCCAAGCCAGGGCCUUUUCCACCUGCCCACACUGUCAGGGUCGUGGGGACUUGCUGAUUGUGGCACUGAGCACACUGGCUGUGUUUUCACCUUCCUUUUGAUGCCCUUGCCUCAGGCUUGUGCCAGAUUUCCCCUUUUCUUGUUUUAGAUACCAGUAUGGUCUCCCCACAUCUUUUCCUGAAAUUGUAUUGCAUUGUACUGGGCCUUUCCCUUGAGCACGGAAGCUUGCAAUUGGCCAUAGGACUGGCCUAUGACCAACCAUAAUAAAUAUGAGUGAUUUGCUAUCAGAUUUCAUUUAUUCAUUCAACACUUGCUGGUGCUGCUGGGUGAGACACGGAGGGUCCUGGGGUGUGUAAGGCAGUGACAGCCAUGAAAAUGUCUCAGUGUGAUGGGAAAGGGAGUGUGUACAAAAGGAUGAACCAUUUCUGGAGUUCCCUUGCGGCUCAGUGGGUUAAGGAUCUGGCAUCAUCACUUCAGUGACCCAGGUUCGAUCCCUGGUUCAGGAACUUCCACCAGCUGCAGGCGAGGCCAAAAAAAAAGAAGUAUUUCUUAGGAGUGUAGAAAAGGGGGUGGGUGAUUCUUAGCAAACUGUGCAGUUGGUGUGGCAGGAAAAUGUUUUGAAAUGUGAAUUGAGGUUUCUUACACCCGGGAUUUCUUUGUUCCCUUUGCUGUCCCUUGCACUCAAACAGGCCCUUUCUCUGCUCUGCUCUUAUCUUAGGAAAGAUGGUGAGAGCAGAAGGAAGAGAACAGAAAGCAGCCCUCUUUUAGCUGCAGUGCAUGGGAUUCUGUGGGCAGAAGGACCCACCUUCCAUGCUGGGAAUGAUGGCUUUUGAAAGCUCGUGACUUAACCACUCACUGCACAUGACCCUGGGUUGCAGGAUCUGCCCACUCAGGGCUACCCACGCUCUGUGACACAAAGGCUCCCCUCCCCAUGCCCUUAGUCUGAGCCAACUGUGCUGGGCUAUUUUGGCUCCAGGCCCCCCUGAGACUUGGCUGGAGGCGGCCUCCUUUGCAACCACUUUUCGAGUCAGGGGCUCCUACUGCAAAAUCCUGUCCAUCUUCCUGCUUUACAGGUGAAUCUCCCAAGAACCCUCCUUAGUAAACCUUCCAUCUGCAGUUUACAAACUCAGACAACGAUUCCAGGGAACCUCAAGGCAAGUGAAAUGAGAAGUAUCGUCAGAAAUGGCCUCUAAGUGGAAAAUUGGAGCUGGAGUGCCCGGCAGCUGAUAACACAGAUGCUGUCACUGGGGGUUAGUGGAGCAUGGUUGGUGCCUGAGCCGCAUUAGGGAAACGGUGACUAGCAGGUCCGAGGGAUGAGGCGGCCAUGCCUGACUUGUUGAAGAGAGAAUGACAGGCUGCGGGUGACUCACCACCUGUUUAAGGCAAAGCACCUCCUCUGGAGCAUCAUGCAAAUCUCAACAUUCUGCAGGUGGAAGACAGGUCAGCUGGAGGGCCGGUAUUAAUCCUAAGACGAGCAGAGUUUUAGAGAAGUACUCAGACCUCCAGGGUCAGGGUCCUCUAGGGAAGAGGUGGGACCUCAAUACUUGGGACCUGGACAGUUGAGUUCCUUGUUCUGAUUCCUCUAUGCCGGUGCGAUAGGUCUACCCCACUUUAGGACAAGACUAUUAAUUCAACAUUUUUUUCCUGGUCUUUUUUGGGCCACACCUUUGGCAUAUGAAAGUUCCCAGGCUAAGAGUGAAAUUGGAAAUGCACCUGCCAGUCUACGCCACAGCCACUGCAAUGCCAAAUCCUAACCCACUGAGCAAGGCCAGGGAUAGAACCCUCAUCCUCAUGGAUACUAGUUGGGUUUUUUUACCACUGAGCCAUGACAGGAACUCCUUAAUUCUCCUUUCUUGAUGAUCCUACAGAGGCCUCAGGUAAGGCAGGCAUCUUAUAAGACAAGGCUCCCUACCUCGAGAUCUCGCCCCGUCUUCCUCCCUGGAAACAAGAUGAAUGACAAGGGCUGGAUCAGCACAGCCUGAUUGGGGCUGAGCUAGGCUGGAAAGGACAAGUAAGGACUCUGUGGCAAAGGAGCUCUAGGAUGUAGCUAAUACCUUUCAGAAGUAUAUUCAUGGAGUCAGGUCAAAGAAUAUAUAGAUUAUAAAGUUGAAUAAGGGAGAGUUUAGUGUUGGGGGUCCCUCUGUCUAGUAAUGGGAUUUCACAUUUGGGCCAGUGUCUCUGGAGAUAAUGCUAAAACUCUGCUUAGGGGGUGCCUGAAAGCCUGGAGGAAGCAAUGACCCCCACUCAGCAAGAUGUUGGAGGAAGGGACCAAGUGGCCUAGAGAACUGGACAUGCUAGCGUGGAUAUGGGACCAAGACAACCUGGAGGGCUUCCUGGAUCAAAGCCAUGCAUUAGAGAGAGUGGCCUCAGUAUCAUCAAAAAGCUCAGGAAUGGCUGUGCCCUGUGGGUCAAGCCAAUGACAGAUGAUGAAAUUAUAGAACUGGUUCUCUGCAGCAACCAAGAUGAGAGGAUCGAAAGACGGCAGGGGAUGGAUGCUGUGCUCCCCAUCAGAGGCAAGGUGAAGGCAAUGACCACAGUGAGAGGCAGGAUCAGUGGAACCCAGGUGGCACCCUGCCCUGAAGAGAGCUCUGGAGAUAGAUGAUCCUCUCAGUCUCUGGCCUGUGGAAGGAAGCCACUGAUUUGGGAAAUGUGUUCUUUUCCAUCUCUGAGGAAAAGGAGGAUCAGAAGCAAUUCAGAUUUACUGGAAACAAACAAAGGCUAUUUUGUGGUCUUGCUACAGGUCGCUGUGAACACUCCCACCCUUUGCCAGUUAGCCUGAAAUAAGCGAUAAGUAGUGUCAACUGAAAAAAAUAAAAAGGCACAACCUAAAAGUUGAGAAUUAUGUUUUAAUUGGUGGUCUUUAUGAGGACUCAAGCUGGGGCCUCGGCAUCUCAGAGAGCUCCGAGGGGCAGCUCCAAAAAGGUAAGGGAGGAGCCAAGAUAUGUAGGGGGGUUUGCAACAAAAAUCUGGUAGUGGGAACAUCAAAUACUACUGUUAAUUCAAGGAAACCAGACCUGGCUAAUUAAUGAAUUUAGUAUUUUUUCUCUGUAUGGGAAGAUGCAAGAGUCUGGGCUCACUGAAGUCAUUCCUUUGACGUGCACUUCAACUAGGUAGGGCCAGGUAAUUAGGGAUUGCUUUUCUCCAAACUGAAUCUCCUCACAGAACACAGCUGGGGGCGGCUGCAGUGGCUGCUCAUUGGGUGGCUGCUUCGUCCUUUGUUUGCUGAUAUGGCAGGUGACAUUCUUGGUCCAUGGUAGACUGAAGGCCUUGGUAAGACACAGGCACAUUCAAGGCUGCGAGGUAAGCCCCACAAAGACUCGGAGACCUGCCACAUGGGUGACAUUUUUAGGGAUCCAAGGAUUUGGGCUUGCUGGGAGAGCCCCUCCAAAGCCAAAGUGGACUGACUGCAUCUCAUACCUCCAAUCACUAAGAAGAAACACAAUGCUUAGCAGGCAUCUUGGAAUGUUCUUCCCCGGGAAUCCUGCCAACCCAUUUUCUGGGUGACGUGGAAGGUGACCUCUUUGAGUGGGACCCAGAGAGGAAAGCAGUCUAGCAGGGAGGGUGGAAGUACAAGAGACCCUGCUGUUUGGUAGUGAGGUGUGGCAAGGCAGGUCUCUAGAGAAUGUAUGACAGGGAAGACACCACACGGCCGGCCCCAGGAGCGUCACAUGGCAUUCUGUGGAAAGGCCACGCCAGCAGCAGCAGCAGAGAAGUAUAGUCACUGGGAAGUGGCUCCUGGCCAGCGUCUCAGCCCUGGUAGAGACCAGCUCUUCAUGGGAUGGCAAGUGACCACAUGACCAUGCCAGGUUCUGUCAGACCCACCAGCUUAGAAGGUUGGGUGGACUCAUCAUAAGGGGAAGUGAGGUACCAGGACUUGGGAGCUGGCAUGAGUGGGGUCAGGAAUAAGAAAGAUGCAGGAGCAGUUGGCUGGACCGGGCAUGAGCCCUUGCUGUUAUUCGGGUCUUUCUCCCUUUGCUCUCACUGAUGGUCCUCUGUGGGGGCAGGAUGGCAUCACUCAGGGACGGCCUUGGGAGACAGCAGGGAGGGGAGAUCCCCCAGGGGACACACAUCUGGGUAGGUCAUCUGGCCACCCACUUUUCAGGGAAAGGAAAUGGCCUGAGAUACGAUUAGAAGCCACGUGACACGUAUGGCCAAACUCAGGGACAGCGGCGAAUGUUCUGGAAAGAGAAAGCCUGGUAGGUGGGAGACAAGGAGGUCUGGGGAAGAGGCCUAUGGAUGGAGUUCUAGGAGCGAGCAGAGUGUAAAGAUCUCCGUGUCGCAUGGCGGUACCCAGCAGGGCGCAUUCACUGUGGUCCACGGAAGAGGUGGGAAAGAACCAGACAGAAUGACUCCGUCAGUUGACACUAGCCAGCCUGUCUUCAGCUGCCCCUGUCUCCACUCCCCAGUGCAGGUAAAACCGUUGGCAUGGUUGCAGAGAUGCCAGCUACCUGUGAGCCCAUUGAUAGGACUUCAUUUACCAAGGUGAUCUAAGUGCUACUGGAUGUGGAAUCUGCCGGCAGUGAAGACCAGGAACACUCAGGACAGCCCAUGUUCAAUGACCUCCUGAGAUGGGGGCACAAAGCUCUGACAUUCACGUCUCCAGUUCCAGAGCUCCCUGGAGGUAGGGGCUCAGAGGCAUCCUUGCUAAGGAAGAGUUCGACUCUCCACUCUUCCUUAGAGAUGUGUCUUCAAAGAACACUCCCCAGUAAAUCUUCUCGGUGCAGUUUUGCAUCUCAGACAAUGUUUCUAGGGAAUACAGACUGGCUUUCAAGUUCUAGAGCCUAGGCUUGUUUCAGAGUUUGGAAGAUGUCAUGGAAUCAUAAGGUUUUGGGGAAAGAGAUCAUGUGUAAGAGUAACAGUAGCUUCCCUCCUAAAGACAAAACAAAAGAAAAAACAAAAUAAAAAAAAAUUAGGAGAAAAAAUUUCCCCAGUGAAUUUUCUUAUAUUAUUUUGCUAUAACCCUCUUUAUCCCUAAUGAUGUUUUUGCUUGAAAACCUACUUUUUCCCCCUGAUGUUAAUAUAACUAUUCCAGUUUUAUUGGCUUUAGUGGUAGGUAGCAUCUGGAAAGUCCAAAACCCUUUAAUGCAUGAGUUUUGUUUUCGUUAAUGUUAAUUUGGGUAGAAAGCUUAUUUUUUGUUACAAAUUUCCAAAGGCGUCUCAGCUCUCAGCCUGGUCUUCUCGGCACCAGCGCAUUUCCUGUGGGCGUGAGUGUGAGGUUGCUUUUCUUACCCCUCAUGGUAGGGCAGGAGUCGUCUGGAGCCCAGGUCUGUGUCAUGGGACCGGGGUUUUUCAUUAAGACCAUGAAAAUAAAAGUUCAUCAAAUCUGCUCUUAAGGCAAAAAUGAUUUCACUACCAUUCUCGCUUCUCCUGUUUUCGACUUUCCCUUAGCUUUGGGGCUGGUAAUUCCUUAUGAUGUCGUAAAGAGGUUUUUAAGAAUUAAAAAAAUUAUUCAUAAUUUGUAGCUGUUUUCAGGGUUUCGUCUGUGCCCAUAACCUGCCAUGUUACUGGAAAUGGAACUCCUAGAGGUACAUUUUUAAAGAAAGAUUGUUGAUAAUGGUGAAAUGUCAUUAACCACUCAUUUUGCAUAUGCACAGAACUUGUUUAGCUAAUGUGAUGUAAAUAUCCACUCUGAUUUUGGCAGGACAGACUAUAGAAUUCUGAAGCUCCAUCAUGUUCCUUUUAAUUAAUUUCAUGAGAGAGAGACAGACAGCGAGAAAGAGACUGAGACCUUUUUAUUGGAUGGAUGCACCCUAGCAAACAAUGUCAACAAAUGAUUUGCAUUAUACAGUUGAGACAAUAAAAUUGAAAAUAAAUAAAGCCGCUUAACUGUUUUGAGGAACAAAUAUGUAAGAUUUGAAUAUUUAUGAUGGUAAAUCAGAUUAAGUUGCCGAACGCUUUUUUCUAAUCUGUCAUCAAUGAUGCGAAGCUUUCAGGAGGAAGUUAAGUUUUGCAGUGUGUUUUGGUUAAAUAUAAAUAAUCACAUUUUCAUGGUUAUAAAAUAAUUCAUUAAAUGAAGGAGGCAGUGAAAACCGCCUUCUCCUGCAGAAACAUAUGGUUAGUGAGGAAGACGUAUGAAAAUGGGGUCAUUGUUCAACAUUUAAAUUAAAUAACAUUUCUAAAGGCUAAGAAGUAAUAGCAGAUUUUAUAUAACUGAUGAUAAAUCUUCAUGUUGAUUUCAAAAGCUGAUGACUGAAAGUAUGUUUCCGCGUUUCAAGAUUUUCCACAAAGAACCUGGAGUUAUUGUGCUUGUUAAAUUCCUCAGGACUGUCCUGUCUGCUUUCAAAGUUCUAGAUAUGGCUUUUGCCUUUGGGGUUCUCUUCUUUUUCACCAAAGUACAAGGUAAGACACUGAGGAUAAUUAGUAUUCCACCCCCCCCCCCCCAGGGAAUAUAAAAGAAAACCCAUCUUUUCCUUAUUCCCCUCUGCUUUGGAUUCUUGAUACUUCCUUUCUUUUUUUUUUUUUUUUAGUCUUUUUAAGGCCACACCCAUGGCAUAUGGAGGUUCCCAGGUUAGGGACUGAAUCAGAGCUCCAGCUCCUGACCUACACCACAGCAACGCAGGAUCCGAGCUGCGUCUGCGACCUACACCACAGCUCAUGGACGUGCCGGAUCCUUAACCCACCGAGCAAGGCCAGGGAUUGAACCCAAGUCCUCGUGGAUACUGGUCGGGUCCGUUAACCGCCGAGCCUCGACAGGAAGUCCCUUGAUACUUCCAUUUUGAGAUGGAUUCUUCACCAAGGACACACUCGGUGGAAGAUAGGAUCUGAGGGAAGGUGAAUAAGUAGAAACUUGGUGAGUACUUGCUAUGCCACCUGGUCGGUGCUGGAAUACACUUCUCUGCCAAGUGACACUUUUAACAAUAUAUCUUUGCUCUCCUCCAAUCCCCAGACCCCUCUCUUUCCUUGCUGGGACCAUAAUGUCUGAAUAAUGCUUUAUAAUGUUCCUAAUAUGUUAUAGACAUUUUGUCAGAUUAUUUUUAGGCGCCUCGCAUUUUGUUGUUUCUAAAGAAGAUAAGAUAGCAUAAUUUUUUUUUGCUAGUAUUAGGUUUUUUUUUUUUUUUUAUGGCCACACCCAUGGCAUAUGGAAGAUCCCUGGGCCAGGGGUUGAAUUUGAGCCACAAAUGCAACAUGCACUGCAGCAAUGCUGGAUCUUUAACACACUGCGUUGGGCCAGGUAUCAAACCCACGCCUCUGCAGCAACCCAAGCCACACAGUCAGAUACUUCACCCACUGUGCCACUGUGGGAGCUCCACUAGUACUGAUUUUAAAAGUGGUUUUGUAUUCCAACAGCCUCAUAGCAAAUGAUAUAUUUCAGAUUUUCUGGGAUUUUUUCCUAACAUCUUGCCUACUGCUUUCCACUCAUUACAUUUCUUUUCAAAAAUGUAUGCAUAGUUAAAAAAUACAUCUUUGUAUUAAUAAUAAUCAUUCAAGCAUAUAGAGGGUUUUUUAGGUGUUACUCUUCUAGCACUUUGUAUGUAUUAACUCCUUUUAUCCUCAUGACAGGUCUAUGAGGUAAGUAAUAUUAUUGUUCCUGUUUUAUUGGUAGUGUUAGAAAAAAAAUUAUUCUGACACUUGUUAAAAUGGUUAAUUUGGGACUAUUGCAGUAGGUGUCAAGACCAUCACAACAGUUGGGAGAAAUCGGAAUCAAUUCCAAAUGUAACAAGAACAAGCAGGGAUUCAUAGCCAGGAGCGGAAUGAAGAGGAGUCUGUGGAUGGACAAUUACUAGGAGGACACACCAAGGGUCAGAGGAUUCCUGCUGACCUGACUUAACAGGAUUCUCGCUGAAGGCCAGUCAAAGGAAAAGAGAAGUUGAUGACCAAGUAUUUUUGUGACUGCAAAACACUAAACUAUCAUCACCCAUUGAUUAGAAAGGGCGUAUCUGCGCUGUGCACCUGGCAGCGUUCAAGGAAGCUGGCCGUUUCCCCUUUGAGCUGCCUUCCCCUGGGGCUGAGACUCUCCCGGGGCCUGAUUCCUGUCAUUCUGACAAUGUCCCACUCCGAUUUGGCAGCUGGGAUUCCUGUAAAGGGGCUCCAUCGUAUGAGGUCCCAUGAUCUGGUCUUGUUUGUUCAAAAAGAAAAACAAAAGGAAAAGAAACUCCCUUUGCAGAAGAAAAUCACGACGAGGCACAGACUCCAGAAGCCCUCGGCACAGCAGACACUUCCGUCUCCGUUUAGAGGCACAGAGACCAGGCGUCUUUCCUCCCUCUGCCUUGCUUAUGCUUGCCGGUGGCUGGAAUACAGUUCCUGGAAGCUGCGAUGAUGGGGGGGUGGGGGGAGAAAUCCUCAGGAUCUGAAUACCUGCCCCCGUGAGCCUUCUCCUGAUUGCUUUUCUGAUGAUAACGUCAUCGCAGUAUCAGUGUGUUUUAAUGGGGACAGUUGUCUUCGCAUUGUUUGUCUGCAUCACAAAUCCGAAGGGGAAACACAGGAACGGAAAGGCCCGUGUCUUCACGAUGUGCCUGGAGGCACAACCAAGGGGUGCAUUCUCUUCAGAUGCUUUCUGAUUUUUGCUCCAGGACUUUCAGAGUACAAAUAGGAUGCCUCCUUUUUCUUGGCCAAGGGCUGCUGGUGGGACCCCUCCGUGGGCUGGUUUUAUGGAUUCAAAAGGCGACUCUGGGCUUGGAUGUAUUGACACAUUAGUCUUUAAAGAAUUUAGUCUUUGGUACUAAAGAAUAAUGUAAUGCAGGUUUAAUUAAAGUGGAAGCUUAAAGCUGAUGUUAAUUUAGUGGUACAGCCAUCUCUCAGUCAUCCUGGACGUUGAAAGAGGCUGUGGUCUGGAUAAUCCGAAUUAAUGGAUAGCCCAGAAUACAUGAUAUUUCCUCCCCUAAAUUCAUCAGGAUUGCUGUUCUAAUUUUCCUACUGGGGGCUAAUGCUGAAGUCAUCAUGAGAGUUGAUUUUGAGGAAAGCAAGACCCUGGCCUGGAGAAGAGAGGCCGUGGCCUUUGAGGCAUGCAUUCAGCACCUCACCGCCUCAGCUUUCUGAAACGUCGCAAAUAAUUGGGAGGAAGGUACCACUCACCGUAACAUAGAUGAGGAAACAGACACAGAGUUGAAAGACUGUUCAAGGUCAUUGACCAGAAAUUAGUAGAACAAAUGGUUCUAUGUCUCUCAGUCCAACUCACGUGUUGAGCAGAAGGAAAAAAACCCCUGUUUUCAGGUAAACACAAAUUGUAAUGUUUUUUUUAACCUGUGAGAAAAUGGUGCAGAUUCUCUUCUGAGUGUGAGCUGUUUUCUUUUUAAGCAAAAUUCUUCUAUGGACUAAUAGCAAGGUUUGGAAGUAAACAGUCAAAUGGAGAUAAAAGUAUACUCUUGUGCACCACAAGCGGAUAAUCGAGAGUGGGGUGGGGCAGAGACCCCCGUGAGGGUGAAGUAACCCCUUUCCUUACAGGGUCCCUAGAACCUUUGAGAGCAAGGGCCUCUGGAAAGUCACCAUUUGUGUUCCUAGCAGUGGAGUUCUCUGAUGUCACAAAACACCUUUCACCCCAAAUCCUCAGCAAAGGGCUGAGGACCCGGUGUCAGUGCAGAGGGAGUGGGUUUGUCCUGAGGCCGAGGAGAGACAAGGCCCUGCGGUCAUGUGAGGGGCCGGGUAGACAAGAGCCCUGCAUUAGUCAGUGUUCUCUGGAAACAGAAUCCGAAGGAACUCGAUGCAGAUGUGGGGGUUUGUUAUGAGGAAUCGGGUCACGUGAUUCUAGAGGCUGUCUGUGAGUGGGAGGCCAAGGAGGGCUGAGAGCCUGGUUCAGUCUAAACCCAAAGCCUGAGACCCGGGGUGGCCCCUGGGCUAAGUAAGGGCAGGUUUUGCAACUUGAAGGUAAAGAUUAAUGUAGAAACCAAAGAAGAAGCCUUUUAAAGAUCAAGGCGACACGGCGUGGUGACUCAAACCAGCGCUCACCUGGGGUGUUUGUUGCUACAAACACACUUUAGUGACGGGCGGAUAAAAUGCGACAUGCUGCUGGGUCAGGCUUCUAAAAGGCAGUGAAGAGAGUUUGCAGGGAGAGAGAGCAUUUUCAGCGUCUGCAGCAUCCUAACUGUCUGGGGUGCGUUAUUUCUUUUCUAAGAUGGGAAAACAUUUCCUUCUGCCGGAUCCACAACUUCAUUCCUCUAAGCGAAAGCCCAGGUUUGUUAGCUGUUGCAGGAUGAUUCUUUAAGGCUUGGCAGACAAGCCCACGGUGUCCUUGGCUCUGGCAUUGCCCUUGCUCUAGUUCUCGCUGUCCCAAGUUAUUGAUUUCAUUAGAAGAUAAGAGUGACAAGCACGGCCUCUAAUACUGGGCAGAAAUGUAAAACCAUUAGCAGGUCGUUGUUGCAGUCGGAACAUGUCCUGGUAAGCUUCUUAGGAAACCAGUGGCAGCCAAUGAUACAGGGAUUAAGCGGGUGGGGUGUGAUGGUGAGGGUGUGUGUGUGAGUGUGGGUGUACGCGUACACAGGCCUGCGGUGAAGACCUUGUGUAUGAUAAGCCCUGACCCUGAAGCGAUGGAUCCGUGGGUUAUUGACACGAACACUUCUGGCCUUGCCCUUCUCUUUCUUCAAGUUAGAGGUUCCACUUCAGAAUGUGUCAGGUGGCCCUCAGGGCUGUUUCGGGGGGCAGGGGAGGAGGCCUGGCAUCUGCUUGGCAGCUGGGGUCAGAGGGUGUCCUGGGAGUGGCCACCAGUUGCACAGACUGCCCAGUGGCCCGUGGGUGGCACAGCAUGCCGUGGAGUGGCCUCUGGGAAGCUGUCUCUGAUGCUGUCCCCUUGGAGCAGCCACCAGAGGCCCCACAUCCCCUGACUUUCUCACCAGACAAGAGGGCGGGGCUGCCAAGGGUGGUGGAAAGUGGCACUGCUGAGUCUUGAGAAGGUCCUUUCAACAAAACAGGACAGGUUUAUUUUUGUUUAGCAUUGAAGGUUAUGAGUGCCUGUGGGGAGGCUGGCGGGCAGGAAGGGGGUUUAUUCAGGUGUCUUGGCCUUGCCCGUGUGAGGCUUGGCCGGUACCUGGAGGGGAUGUUCAGAGGAUCAUGCGGCAGGGGUGGGGGCCGUUAAACAAAUGUGAGUGGGUGACGGUUUUAUGUUUGGAGGGAGGUGGCCAGCUGGGCGUGUUCCUGAGGACGUGCAAGAAGGAACAGGCUCCAAGGACGGCCACCAAGGGGGGAGGCCUCCUGUAGAAGGUGGACGAGGGGCAUGUGGCCCAGCCAGCUCGGGGCUGCAAUGGCAAGAAUACCAAGGGGCUUGAACAGCAUUGACCUCUCAUGGUUCCGAGGCUGGAAAUCCAAGAUCCAGGCUCCAGCAGAUUCAGGGUCUGCUAAGAGCCUGCUUCCUGAGCCACAGAUGGGCGUCCUCCUGCUGGGUCUUCCUGGUGGGACCUGGGGCCUGCUUGUGGGGGCGCUGAUCCCACCCACUCAUGAGGGCUCCAC